AUGGUCAUUGUCAAGUAUGCUAAACCAAUUAUCGAAGUAGAUUAUCAAUCGCUAUCUUUGCGUAGCUGUUUCCUUUUCUUAAAUAUAUAGUAUGAAGUUGGACUUCUAUCACGAUUUUCGUGUCUAGGGGAGGCUUAUAUAUUCUUCCAUUUCCUUCUUAAAUGUUAUUAUAUGUAAAGUCCACCAUCAAAUUACAAAGAUACAUUACACUACUAAGUUUGGAAAGUUGAGUUCUUGGUAAAUAACUGUGCUUAAGGGGAUACUCAUAAAUGACUGUGCUUAAGGGGAUCAUAUUAUUUUGUGAAGGAGCUGGUAAAGAGAGUUAGAGAUUCAACAAAGCUAAGUUGAAUAUUCGCUAAGGUAAAGGUUGUUAUGUAGAUUUCCCAAGAAGCGAGAUAUUCGUCUCUUUCAAUCAAUGUGUAGAUUGUUGAGAUGUUUGAAAUAUAUUAAUGUACGAAAUCUCACAUUUCCUAGUAUUGGAAUGGAUGAGAGAAACCAAUGUUAUAUUAGACUCAAGUCCCUUGUUAUAAUGUGCACCAAUUAGAAAUACCACAUAGGUCUUGGACUCAUGAGUGUCCUAGAGUUUGUAUUUUUUAUUCUCUAAUAACAUCUUGGUAGACAUUC